CGGGUGAGUAAUGUCUGGGAAACUGCCUGAUGGAGGGGGAUAACUGCUGGAAACGGUAGCUAAUACCGCAUAACGUCGCAAGACCAAAGAGGGGGACCUUCGGGCCUCUCGCCAUCGGAUGUGCCCAGAUGGGAUUAGCUAGUAGGUGGGGUAACGGCUCACCUAGGCGACGAUCCCUAGCUGGUCUGAGAGGAUGACCAGCCACACUGGAACUGAGACACGGUCCAG
rnacentral:rRNA from 1 species